AUGCUCAAAAUUCUCCAAGCCAGGCUUCAGCAAUACAUGAACCGUGAAAUUCCAGUUGUUCAUGCUGGUUUUAGAAAAGGCAGAGGAACCAGAGAUCAAAUUGCAAAUAUCCACUGGAUCAUCGUAAAAGCAAGAGAGUUCCAGAAAAACAUCUACUUCUGCUUUAUUGACUAUGACAAAGCCUUUGACUGUGUGGAUCACAAUAAACUGUGGAAGAUUCUGAAAGAGGUGGGAAUAUCAGACCACCUGACCUGCCUCUUGAGAAACCUAUAUGCAGGUCAGGAAGUAACAGUUAGAACUGGACAUGGAAUAACAGACUGGUUCCAAAUAGGAAAAGGAGGACGUCAAGGCUGUAUAUUGUCACCCUGCUUAUUUAACUUAUAUGCAGAGUACAUCAUGAGAAAUGCUGGACUGGAUGAAGCACAAGCUGGAAUCAAGAUUGCCGGGAGAAAUAUCAAUAACCCCAGAUAUGCAGAUGACACCAUCCUUAUGGCAGAAGGUGAAGAGGAACUAAAGAGCCUCUUGAUGAAAGUGAAAGAGGAGAGUGAAAAAGUUGGCUUAAAGCUCAACAUUCAGAAAACUAAGAUCAUGGCAUCUGGUCCCAUCAUUUCAUGGCAAAUAGAUGGGGAAACAGUGGAAACAGUGUCAGACUUUAUUUUUUUGGGCUCCAAAAUCACUGCAGAUGGUGACUGCAGCCAUGAAAUUAAAAGACGCUUACUCCUUGGAAGGAAAGUUAUGACCAACCUAGAUAGCAUAUUAGAAAGCAGAGACAUUACUUUGCCAACAAAGGUCCGUCUAGCCAAGGCUAUGGUUUUUCCAGUGGUCAUGUAUGGAUGUGAAAAUUGGACUGUGAAGAAAGCUGAGCACAGAAGAAUUGAUGCUUUUAAACUGUGGUGUUGGAGAAGACUCUUGGGAGUCCCUUGGACUGCAAGGAGGUCCAACCAGUCCAUCCUAAAGGAGACCAGUCCUGGGUGUUCAUUAGAAGGACUGAUGCUAAAGCUGAAACUCCAAUACUUUGUCCACCUCAUGUGA
rnacentral:lncRNA from 1 species